CGAUAUGGUAAGAAUUGUGAGCUGAUAUGCCAUUGUGCAAAACAGGACUGUCACCACAUCUAUGGUUGCAAAAAACAUCCCUCAGAGUGUGAAGAUGGAGAAAUUGGACUUUAUUGUGAGCUACCAUGUCCGUAUCCAGCUUUUGGUAAGGAAUGCCAGAAGAAAUGCAUUUGUGAACAGCAUCAUUGUGACAUUAAACUUGGAUGUACAGGUACAUCAACUUUCAUUGAAGAAUACAUCACGAGUCCUGUCUUUCAUGCUUAUUCUUCUAUCAGCCC